GAUGAACGCUGGCGGCGUGCCUAAUACAUGCAAGUCGAGCGAACAGACGAGGAGCUUGCUCCUCUGACGUUAGCGGCGGACGGGUGAGUAACACGUGGAUAACCUACCUAUAAGACUGGGAUAACUUCGGGAAACCGGAGCUAAUACCGGAUAAUAUAUUUAACCGCAUGGUUCAAUAGUGAAAGACGGUUUUGCUGUCACUUAUAGAUGGCUCCGCGCCGCAUUAGCUAGUUGGUAAGGUAACGGCUUACCAAGGCAACGAUGCGUAGCCGACCUGAGAGGGUGAGCGGCCACACUGGAACUGAGACACGGUCCAGACGCCUACGGGAGGCAGCAGGAGGGAAUCUACCACAAAGGGCGAAAGCCUGACGGAGCAACGCCGCGUGAGUGAUGAAGGUCUGCGGAUCGUAAAACUCUGUUAUUAGGGAAGAACAAAUGAGUAAGUAACUAUGCACGUCUUGACGGUACCUAAACAGAAAGCCACGGCUAACUACGUG
rnacentral:rRNA from 1 species